rnacentral:rRNA from 1 species
UGGGGAAUUUUGGACAAUGGGCGCAAGCCUGAUCCAGCCAUGCCGCGUGUCUGAAGAAGGCCUUCGGGUUGUAAAGGACUUUUGUCAGGGAAGAAAAGGAUAGGGUUAAUACCCCUGUCUGAUGACGGUACCUGAAGAAUAAGCACCGGCUAACUACGUGCCAGCAGCCGCGGUAAUACGUAGGGUGCGAGCGUUAAUCGGAAUUACUGGGCGUAAAGCGGGCGCAGACGGUUACUUAAGCAGGAUGUGAAAUCCCCGGGCUCAACCUGGGAACUGCGUUCUGAACUGGGUGACUAGAGUGUGUCAGAGGGAGGUAGAAUUCCACGUGUAGCAGUGAAAUGCGUAGAGAUGUGGAGGAAUACCGAUGGCGAAGGCAGCCUCCUGGGAUAACACUGACGUUCAUGCCCGAAAGCGUGGGUAGCAAACAGGAUUAGAUACCCUGGUAGUCCACGCCCUAAACGAUGUCGAUUAGCUGUUGGGCAGCUUGACUGCUUACUAGCGAAGCUAACGCGUGAAAUCGACCGCCUGGGGAGUACGGUCGCAAGAUUA